rnacentral:lncRNA from 1 species
AACCAGGUCCCUGCACCUCCACAGAAGAUUCCAACCCAGGUUCGCAACAAUGCUCCACCGCUCAUCCCUGAGCCUCAAAAUGCUCCAAACCACCAGGAUACCCCAAUCUUUGUGGAUAUUGUGCCAUACUAUACACAACCCAUAUCAGAUGUGUCAGUCAGAUUCACUCAUUCAGAACUUGGUUGCUGAACUCAAGGAACUCACUAACAGGGUCCAAGGCGUGGAAGGUAACAGGGGUGUGGAAGGUCUGAAUUAUGAAGAUUUGUGUGUUCAACCCGAUGUCGAACUCCCCAAGGGGUACAAACCUCCUAAGUUCAAGAUGUUUGAUGGCACGGGUGAUCCCAGGGUUCACCUCAGGAUGUAUUGUGACAAAUUUGUGGGAGUUGGUAAGGAUGAAAAGAUCCGCUGAUGUCGAACUCUCGGAGGGGUACAAACCUCCUAAGUUCGAGAUGUUUGAUGGUAUGGGUGAUCCCAGGUUUCACCUCAGGAUGUAUUGUGACAAAUUAGUGGGAGAUGGUAAGGAUGAAAAGAUCUGCAUGAAACUAUUCAUGAGGAGUUUGAAAGGUA